rnacentral:rRNA from 1 species
AUAGCGUAUAUUAAAGUUGUUGCAGUUAAAAAGCUCGUAGUUGAACUUCAGGCCUGGCCGGGUGGUCUGCCUAACGGUACGUACUGUCUGGCUGGGCCUUACCUCUUGGUGAGCCGGCAUGCCCUUUACUGGGUGUGUCGGGGAACCAGGACUUUUACCUUGAGAAAAUUAGAGUGUUCAAAGCAGGCCUAUGCCCGAAUACAUUAGCAUGGAAUAAUAAAAUAGGACGUGCGGUUCUAUUUUGUUGGUUUCUAGAGUCGCCGUAAUGAUUAAUAGGGAUAGUUGGGGGCAUUAGUAUUCAGUUGCUAGAGGUGAAAUUCUUGGAUUUAUGGAAGACUAACUUCUG